CGGCUUCCCGCUCCGCCUUCCCGCUCCGCCUUCCACCGGCGGCACCAGAGGCAGCGCCCGCUUCUCCACCCCCCUCCCCCCCGCGGCGUCGGGAGAGCGGGUCGGCGCGGGCCCGCCAGUGACGCGAGGGGGAGGGCCGAGCGCCGCGCCGGGCCUUGGGCCUUGUAGGCCGCUGUCGGCGUGACUCGGCCGGGCCGGCCCCUCGCGCGCUCAAGAUGUCGGCGCAGGCCCAGAUGCGCGCCAUGCUGGACCAGCUCAUGGGCACGUCCCGGGACGGUGACACAACCCGUCAGCGAAUCAAAUUCAGUGAUGACAGAGUGUGCAAGAGCCACCUUCUCAACUGCUGCCCUCAUGAUGUGCUCUCUGGAACUAGAAUGGACCUUGGUGAAUGUCUGAAGGUGCAUGACCUGGCAUUAAGGGCAGACUAUGAAAUAGCAUCCAAAGAUCAAGAUUUCUUCUUUGAGCUUGAUGCAAUGGACCACCUGCAGUCAUUUAUUGCAGACUGUGACAGGAGAACAGAAGUGGCUAAGAAAAGACUAGCUGAAACCCAAGAAGAGAUCAGUGCUGAAGUUGCAGCUAAAGCUGAAAGAGUUCAUGAAUUGAAUGAAGAAAUUGGGAAACUGCUGGCCAAAGUAGAACAGCUUGGAGCUGAUGGGAAUGUGGAAGAAUCUCAAAAAGUAAUGGAUGAAGUGGAGAAGGCUCGGGUAAAGAAGAGAGAAGCAGAAGAAGUGUACAGGAAUUCUAUGCCUGCCUCCAGCUUUCAGCAGCAGAAGCUACGGGUUUGUGAAGUGUGCUCGGCUUAUCUUGGUCUUCAUGACAAUGACCGACGACUUGCUGACCACUUCGGAGGAAAACUGCAUUUAGGAUUUAUUGAAAUAAGAGAGAAGCUUGAGGAACUCAGGAGGAUUGUGGCUGAUAAACAGGAGAAACGAAAUCAGGAACGUCUGAAACGUAGAGAGGAGAGGGAAAGAGAAGAAAGGGAGAAACUGAGGAGGUCCAGAUCCCACAGCAAGCAUACCAAAAGAUCUAGGUCCCGAGAUCGCCGCAGACAUCGGUCUCGCUCAGCCUCCCGGGAACGAAAGAGAAGAACUCGCUCCAAAUCCCGUGAGAAGCGCCAUCGUCACAGGUCUCGCUCUAACAGCCGCAGCCGGAGUCGCAGCCAUCAUAGAAGCAGGCAUAGUUCCAGGGAGAGAAGCCGAGAACGCAGCUCCAAAAAGAGCACUGGAGCCCAUCUGUUGUGUACUGCGCCAGAUAAAAACAAGUUUAGAUACACCUGAAAGUAAACUUGUUACAUUGCAUCUGAAGACAUUGCUUUGCAAGGGAAGUGGCUCAACCCCCUCAUUGAAGGAUUACUGCAGAGAGCAGUCUGGGGUUGUUGCCUUUGAAUGACUCAACUGUCUGCUCCUGAGGAUUUGCUGGCUUAUUUUAGACGAGCGAGGUAAGCAUAAUUUAGAAGAGCGGUAGAAUUGCACAAUGAGGCAUCUGGUAAGGAGGUCUGCUCAUAACCAGAAUUCCUUUCCUGUAUAGGUCAGCCACCGUGGCGUAGACUUGAGUGCAGUACACUGGACAGGGUGCCCAGUCUUAAAACCCCAACAGACUGUUGACUUGCAAGGAGAGAAAAGAUCUGACUUUGAAGUGGACGCACAUGCAGGGUUUAUAAUUCGGAUUAUUUUAGGAGUUAAAUCACCAAGGAUGGAGAUACAUAUUUGUAUUGAAGUCUUCAAGUAUCUCAUGGGCUCUUUGCCCUAAAAAUGAGCUUUUUUUUUCUCCUUGGAGUAGGUGGGUGACUCUGGGCCCAUCGUGCUCUGUAAGAGAGCGUAGAAGACAGGGUUGGUCCAAGUCUUUUGUUUCCUUCUUUUUGUUGCAGAUGGAUGAAACUUAGAUGUCCAGCUCUCUAGUUGAUAUAGUCAGUAGUGUCUGGUAUUUAAAAUUCUUCAGGGUGUUCUUUAGUGUCCUAAAGUCAACGUUUCAGACUCAGCAAUUUCCAUCUUGAUUGUAGCCUGUCAUCACAGUUAUCCUAAAGAGUCUGCUUCUUAAAGGCAUUCACAAUGGCAGAUGAGCAAAUCUUCAGAACUGUAGUUUUUCGGUCUUAAAAUAGACAUUUUCCUUUGAAUUGACACAUUUUUUAACUUGGAUGACCCAACGUAUAGAGCGUAUGCUCAAAUUGCCUUUAAUUCUUCAACUUUGAAGUCCAGACUUGCAAGACUCAAUUUCAGUCCUGCAGAGAAAACUAUACUGAUUGAUUGUUCUGGGAUUCUCAUCAUAGUUGUUCAAACUCUCCAAUGUGAUAAGCACAAUGCAAAUAAUGCAUUGUCUUCUGUAUGUUGGCAGAGAAAUAUGUAAGAACAAGGAAAUGGUGUGGACCAUUGGUGCUAUCCAUAUAACAGUAAACCUGUCAGUCUCAGCUGCCAAAGGUGAAUUGAAAAAGCACAAGGUGAUUUGAAGAUGAAGUCAGUGUCCUUUUGAAGGAUGCUAUCAAAAGAUAAGCCCUUCAAGCGUCAUUUUCUGUGAAUGAGUUAAAAAAUAUGACGUACUUCAGGGCACAAGAUUUCAACCUCAGGUUAUUCAGUACUAGAUAUAUUUCUCCUGAUGUCAGUUCUUGCCCUGAAGGAAUGAGACACACCUGUGUUGGAAGAAUCCUUGGUACAAAUCCUCAAAAGAAAGAUCUUCCAGAGACAAAGAACGUUCAAGAGAUCGUGAUAGAACAUCUCGUGAUAAAGAUAGAAGCUCAAGAGAGAGGUCACCGCGAGAUUUCAAAGACAAGAAGCGUUCUUACGAAAGUGCUAAUG